UAAAAGCACGAUUUUUAGGGCAUAGUGCGUUCACACUGAAAAACAAGCGAAAACUCAGUGCUCUGAAAGUACCCGGAUGGUGCACUAAUAACGGACAAAAAUCCAGUGUAAGAUGAUGGACACUACUUACACUAAACGGACGCCAUUUUGCCUGCGUAGCGGAAGGGGAGGGGCUUUUCCCCAAGUUUUCAGAUUUGAAAUAAUGGCGGCCAGCACCGAGAUGGAAGCGAUGAAAGCAGCGAUGCAAGCCGAGGGGAACUGCUUCGUAAAAAUGGACAUAUGAGGACACCGGGGCCGUAAUAUUGUGGCGGACGGCCAAUGUGGCGCUUUUCACGGGGAAGAGGAACGGUACGGACACCUACAGCCCCAGAGGUGGUUCCUGGAGGUACUGGUCCUGGUGCGGGUUGGUCCCUUGCUGCUCUCCCAACAUCGACAUCAGCAUCUGGCUCCAGGACGUCCCCGUUGCUCACACAGAUGUUGUGGAGAACAGUACAGCACACAAUGACCUCCGGCACAUACUUCACCUCCACCUCCAGAGCCUUGAGGAAAAUGGACUGCCAUCUUGUUUUCAGGACCCCAAAAGACUACCCUUGACAGGUAGCAGUUGUAUAUUGCUUGGAGGUGGUUCUAACAGGCUGUCUGAAGGGUGUCAUGAGGCAGAUGGGGCAGAUGGGGCGUGACAAGCAGGGGUAGCCACAUCUCCAAUGUGCAGUAUCCUGUGGGGGGUAGGACUGCUCAUAGUAGAUGGGGCCUUUUUGUAGGACUCGGGCGUCGUGGACUGACCCACAACAUCCAACAAACACGUCCAGAAAUCUUCCGCCGUCGUCACAGAUGACCUGCAGCUGGACGGAGUGAAAUAGCAGGGAGCGUCCUCUGCAGGGGGCUUCACGCGGAUGUGCCAUCAGUCAAUCGCUCCUACCACCCUGUUGAAGGCAGCAGAUCCGGCUAGGCGGGCAAAGCGGGCACCCAAGCGAGAGAGUUCCUCUGCGGUGGGAUGGCGGACCACUUCAUAAAG